GAUGAACGCUGGCGGCGUGCCUAAUACAUGCAAGUCGAGCGAACAGACCCUGAGCUUGCUCCUCUCACGUUAGCCGCGCACGGGUGAGUAACACGUGUAUACCCUCCCUAUCUGUCUGGUAUCACUUCGGGACUCCGGCGAUUAUCCCGGAUAAGAUAUUGCACCGCAUUGUUCGUUGGUGAAUGACGGUUUUGCUGUCUCUUCUAGCUGCUUCCGCGCCGCAUUGGCUAGUUGGGAAGUUAACGGCUUACCACGGCGACGCUGCGUAGCCGACCUGAGAGGGUGAUCGGCCACACUGGAACUGAGACACGGUCCAGACGCCUACGGGAGGCAGCAGUAGGGAAUCUUCCGCAAUGGGCGAAAGCCUGACGGAGCAACGCCGCGUGAGUGAUGAAGGUCUUCGGAUCGUAAAACUCUGUUAUUAGGGAAGAACAAAUGUGUAAGUAACUGUGCACGUCUUGACGGUACCUAAUCAGAAAGCCACGGCUAACUACGUG
rnacentral:rRNA from 1 species